CCCUUAGAUGUUCUGGGCUGCACACGUGCUACACUGGCAGGUUCAGCGAGCUUCAUGCCCUGAUCUGAAAGGAAUGGGAAAUCUUUUCAAAAACUGCCGUGCUUGGGAUAGAUGUUUGCAAUUAUUCAUCUUCAACGAGGAUUGCCUUGUAAGCGCACGUCAUCAGCGUGCAUUGAAUACGACCCUGUAUUCUGUACACACCGCCCGUCGCUCCUACCGAUUGAAGUUUUCGGUGAGUUGACAGGAGGAUUUUUUUGAAACUGGUUCGCCAGUGGAUUUUAGAUCCAAAUGCCAACGAAUCGAUGGCUUUAGAGGAAGGAGAAGUCGUAACA
rnacentral:rRNA from 1 species